UUGCAGUAUAUUGUUGACAAGAUGGUAGACAGGCUCCCCGCCUGGCAAGCAAGGAUGAUGUUCAGAGCUGGGAGGCCGGAACUCCUCAAAACCACCCUCGCAUCAAUGCGAAACCAUGCUAUGAUGGCAAUAGAUCUCCCAGUCAAAACAAUCGAAGCAGCCAAUAAGAUUUGUAGAGGCUUCCUAUGGAAGGGGCGACGAGAUGUCCACGGGGGACACUGCUUGGUGGCGUGGGAUCAAGUUUGCGCACCCAAGGAAUAUGGUGGUCUGGGUGUGCCCAACUUACGACUGCUCAACACCUCUUCGAGCAUGAUGCCCAUGGUUGGCCAGGACGGAUAUGGAUAUGCCAUGGACAGAAUUCAACAUUCAGGUCUCGUCGGACUCGAUGGCUAUAUACAAGGCAGCCACCAAAUGCACCAUUGGGAACGGUUAAUCCACUCUAUUAUGGACGGACUGGUGGCUGCAAGAGGGACGCAUACAGGAUAUCAUGCCAUACCUGUUCAAAGCUGUAAAGAGAAGUGCGAUCAAGGUGAGAACCGUGGGACAGGCGGUCGCGAGAGGUUGGUGGCAGGACGUGUCACCAAAUAUGGGCGCGGAAGCAAUACAGGAGUUUCUCACUCUGGUGGACCGGAUGCAACUUUUCCAGGUGGAGGUGGCGAUACAGGAUAG
rnacentral:rRNA from 1 species